rnacentral:rRNA from 1 species
AUAUCACUAAGCGGAGGAAAAGAAAUUAACUAAGAUUGCCCCAGUAACGGCGAGUGAAGCGGCAAAAGCCCAAAAUGGAAAUCUUCACACUUCGUGUGACGAAUUGUAAUCUAAAGGAGGAAUACUCACCUGUCGGCGGCGCAGAACUUCCUUAGAAUGGGAGGCCAGAGAGGGUGACAGCCCCGUAUGUGGUGCCACUGACUACCAAGUAUCCUUCAAAGAGUCGGGUUGUCUUGAAUCGCAGCCCUAAGCGGGAGAUAGACUUCUUCUAAGGCUAAAUAUUUAUGGGAGACCGAUAGCGCACAAGUA